rnacentral:sRNA from 1 species
ACUUUCGUAUGCUUAAAAACCUAAAUAUAAAAAAAAGAGUAUUCAAACUUGGUACUUUUCGUUGAAUGGCAGAUAAAGUUAUGGUGAUUUUUGCAUGAGAGAAUUUAUAUUCAUUUUGUGAACAAGGUGGUCUAGUAUGUGUGAUUGCUUUAAUAAACUUUUGGUGGGUGAAUAUGGGAGCAGAUGUCAUGGUUUUAUAUUCAAUGGUAUACAAAUUUCAAAGCUUUAGGUAGAAGAGAGUAAAUGCUGGUCCACGUCUUAAAGGGGUUUAUCUUGGGUUUGAUUACAUGCAUGUACUGUAUUAAUGUAUUAAGAAUUUAUAUAAUUGUGUGUAUAUUGAUUUUAAAUUUGCCAACAUGUUCAUUCAAAAGAUUGAUUUUCCAUUACCUGUUUUAUCUUAGUUACAUUUACCAGUUUGUCAAACAGUCUGUGUUUAUAUAUGUUGGGCAUGGUUGAGUAAGAUACAGAAUUGAGGAGUUUCGUAAAAUUAUAUGAAUGUUUUUUUGAUUUACUAUGAUCAAUAAAGAUAAUUGAUAAAAUGGAUUGUAAUUCUCUGAAAGUGAUCAUUAUGCUGUAUAUAUAUACAUGUGUAUGUCAAAGGUUUGAUGGUGCAUAUAUGAAUAAUGCUGUUAAUGUUAACAUGACCAACCAAUCAGAAGUCAGUUUACAGGGUAUGUGGUAAUGCAUCUCCUAUCAGAUCUGUCUUUGUAAGUCUACACUUUAUUAUGUGGCAUUAGUGGACCAUUCCAGGAUUUUGUGCAUAUACUUGUAUUCAUAUAUUUUUUUGAUUUUUUUUUUAAAUGUAUGGAAUGUAAGAAUUUGUUGAGCGAUUUGUGAUGCCAUUGCACUGGUAGUUUUGACGGGUUUUUGAAUUAUUGGAAAGAGGAAUGUACUGCAUGUAGUCUGUGUGUGAGAGGGGAAGAUGACUGGUGUGAUUACUCUCUAUCAGGUUCACUUAGGUUGUGUUCAUUAUAGAAACAGAAAUGACAAGAAUUAAAAUUGAUCAUAUAUAUACAU